rnacentral:lncRNA from 1 species
AUGCCGCCGGCUCUGAUCUGCUCCUGUGCUACCCUCAGACUUCACGUAGUCUCUUUUGACUCUCCGCCUUCAGCACAACACACACAUAUGUGCACACACCCACAGACACGCACACACAGUUGCACACACAUGCUCACACACACACAUGCUCACACACACGCACACAGCCACAUACAUGCACACACACAAAGUUACACACACAUGCUCACACACGCAGUUACACAUGCUCACACACUCAUGCAGAUACACUUACACACAUGCUCUCACACACACCCACACACAUGCACACACGCAGAUACACUUACACAUGCACACGUACUCCCGCAGAUACACUCACGCACACACGCUCACACACUCAUGCAGAUACACAUACGCUCACCACACACAGUGUUCACAAACUCACGCAGAUACACUCACACAUACAUGCCCACACACACGCUCAAAGUCAUGCAGAUACACUCACACACAUGUUCAUAUGCUCACACAGACACACACAUGCACACACACACAGAUACACUCAUGCACACAUGCUCACACACUCCCGUAGACACACACACAGUGCUCACAUACUCACGCAGAUACACACACACACACACACAUGCUCACACACUCACAGACACACGUGCACACACAGAUACACUCAUGCACACAUGCUCACACACUCAUGCAGAUACACUCACACACAUGCUCACACACACACAUGCUCACACACACGCACACAGCCACAUACAUGCACACACACACAGAUACACUCAUGCACACAUGCUCACACACUCAUGCAGAUACACAUACGCUCACCACACACAGUGUUCACAAACUCACGCAGAUACACUCACACACAUGCUCACACACUCAUGCAGAUACACAUACGCUCACCACACACAGUGUUCACAAACUCACGCAGAUACACUCACGCACACACGCUCACACACUCAUGCAGAUACACUCACACACAUGCUCACACACUCAUGCAGAUACACUCACACACAUGCUCACACACUCAUGCAGAUACACAUACGCUCACCACACACAGUGUUCACAAACUCACGCAGAUACACUCACACAUACAUGCCCACACACACGCUCAAAGUCAUGCAGAUACACUCACACACAUGUUCAUAUGCUCACACAGACACACACAUGCACACACACACAGAUACACUCAUGCACACAUGCUCACACACUCCCGUAGACACACACACAGUGCUCACAUACUCACGCAGAUACACACACACACACACACACACACAUGCUCACACACUCACAGACACACGUGCACACACAGAUACACUCACACACAUGCUCACAUAUGCACUCACACACAUACACACACAUUCACGCAUGCACACUUGCACAUACACAGACUCUCAUGCACAUCUGUCGCCUCCAUUUUAA